CGGAUUGAUACUAAGCCAUGCGAGUCUUUGUAGUAAUACAAGGCAUACGGCUCAGUAACACGUAGUCAACUUACCCUAUGGACGAGGAUAAUCUCGGGAAACUGAGGAUAAUACUCGAUAGACCAUCAUUCCUGGAAUGGUUUGUGGUUGAAAUGAUUCGUCGCCAUAGGAUGGGACUGCGGCCUAUCAGCUUGUUGGCGAGGUAAUGGCUCACCAAGGCGAUUACAGGUACGGGCUCUGAGAGGAGAAGCCUGGAGAUGGGUACUGAGACACGGACCCAGGCCCUAUGGGGCGCAGCAGGCGAGAAAACUUUGCAAUGUGCGAAAGCACGACAAGGUUAAUCCGAGUGAUUUCUGCUAAAGAAAUCUUUUGCAAGUCAUAAAACCACUAGUGAAUAAGGGGUGGGCAAGUUCUGGUGUCAGCCGCCGCGGUAAAACCAGCACCUCAAGUGGUCAGGAGGAUUAUUGGGCCUAAAGCAUCCGUAGCCGGCUCUGUAAGUUUUCGGUUAAAUCUGUACGCUCAACGUACAGGCUGCCGGGAAUACUGCAGAGCUAGGGAGUGGGAGAGGUAGACGGUACUCGGUAGGAAGGGGUAAAAUCCUUUGAUCUAUUGAUGACCACCUGUGGCGAAGGCGGUCUACCAGAACACGUCCGACGGUGAGGGAUGAAAGCUGGGGGAGCAAACCGGAUUAGAUACCCGGGUAGUCCCAGCUGUAAACGAUGCAGACUCGAUGAUGCAUUGGCAUAUAGCCAGUGCAGUGUCGCAGGGAAGCCGUUAAGUCUGCCGCCUGGGAAGUACGUACGCAAGUAUGAAACUUAAAGGAAUUGGCGGGGGAGCACCACAAGGGGUGAAGCCUGCGGUUCAAUUGGAUUCAACGCCGGAA
rnacentral:rRNA from 1 species